UAAAGUUAGAGCAAGUUUUUUAUUCUAUACUCUAAGAAACAAAACUAUAAUAGGUGGCUGGCUGGGCAAAUGUCAAUUAUAUUUUUAUUUAUUCCCUCAUUCAACAGAUAUUUAUUAACAUUCUAUUGGGCAGUCACUCUGAUGAAAAUAUUGACAAAGUUAUCUCCAUGGAGUUUGCAUUCAUAUCAAGUGGAAGUGCUUAGGCCUGAGGCUUUUUCUCUUGAAUGAUCUACCAUGUUCCCAGGAGUUCCAGAGCCAUACAUCUGUGGAUGCUUGAAGAAAAGGAGAACCUAAGACCAAGUUCCAUGGAUUGAAAACAACAGCAGUAGCAACCACUAAACAUAAAGUUAUGCCCAGGGGCUGCUCCUCAUACUCUCAGAAACAAGUUGGUCCAGGAUGAUUUCCAGCUGUUCCUGUGCACACAGCGCCACUGGGAGACAGAAUAGCUGGUCUCAUGGCCAUGGACAGGCUAGAGGAAAGAGUAGGUUCUGAGGUUUGCAUUUGGUGAGAGUAUGUUGCCCUCCACAUGGCAAAGAUUCAGGAAUGAAUAAAGACAAGGAAAGGAAUGAGCAGAAAUGAAAAUCAUUAUUGAGAGAAACUUGGGCAUCUGCUGUCAGAAUGAAAAGAAAAAGCCUCCAUCAACACAUGAAAGGAAGUCCAGACUGAGGGAAGGAAGAGUCUGCAAUUACACAGUACCAGGGUCAAUAUUCAGAAGCCUUGGAGUCUUCCAGCAGUUAUGGCCAAGAGGAGGACUUGCACCAACUUAUCACAGCAAGUGAAGCUUUUCUUGCACUGUAUUUCUUAAGGAAAUUCUCACACUGGACAAUCAGUGAGGGAACUGGACAAUUUUGUCAUUCACAGCUUUAGAGAGAACACAGAUCUCUGAUCUUCAGUUGCUUCCAUCAGUUCUUCCCAUCCUCCUGAGGCUUCUUAAGAAGUCAAGGGAUGGGGCUCUGGAAAUGUGCUUGAAGCCAGGUGGAGUUACCUUGUCUCCAUGGCAAAGACAGGCAGGUGCUCAGGGCCUUUGGAGAAACAGGAGGAUGUUUUUUUGUGACCAUUCCUUAGCCUUCCAUUUACUCUUGGACCUCUGUCUGUGACUAUGAAUAGCUUGGCCAUGCAGCACAGUAAGACACAUAUUCUACCUAACCAUCCCAUGAGCACAUUCACACUUGCCACAUGUGUGCACUCAGAUCAUUUCAAACAAUAAUCCCCCAAAUUCCCUGAGCAAUAUUUUCUCAUGUCACAGUGAACUGCUCUGAUUCUUAAAAUGCUAUCAAUUCUAUUUUUAAAGUGUUGCUUGUCACCAACUGAAAAAUUAAUUUCAUGACUCACAAUGGGUCAUGACUUGUGAUUUGAAAAACAGUACUCUGAAUCCUUUGUUCUCAACCAAGACAGCUGUUCAAACUUUACUCAUUUGUGUCCCUGGAUGAUAUAAUACAUACCCACUAAUGUAUAUAUGUGGUAAAAUAUCCUUAGUGAUUCUAGUGUGCCCCUUACCAUCCCCUAGCCAAUCCAAAGUGACAAGAUGCUAGGAAAAAUAAACAAAAGGGAGAGAAGAGGAAGAAUUUUUCCUAAGAUUUAGAGCACAGCUUGUCUUUUCUGUCCCAGAGAGUACCAGCUCCUAAUAAAAAAGAAGUUCUAGAUUCCAACUAGGACACAAGAAAGCUGGAUGUGAUGGCACAUGCCCGUUAUGCCAGAACUCUAGUAGGGUGAGGCAGGAGGUUCAAAAGUUUGUGUCUAACCUGAGCCACUCAGUGAGACCCUCUGUUAAAAGCUAAUUAACUAAAUAUAUUGAUAGAUGAAUAAAAAAUUUAAAAAGGG